AACGUAGGAGACGAGCGUUAUCCGGAUUUACUGGGCGUAAAGCGUGUGCAGGCGGUUCGGCAAGUUGGAUGUGAAAUCUCCCGGCUCAACUGGGAGGCGUCGUUCAAUACUACCGGACUUGAGGGCAUCAGAGGAAGGUGGAAUUCCCGGUGUAGUGGUGAAAUGCGUAGAUAUGCGGAGGAACACCGAUGGCGAAGGCAAUCCCCUGGGCCUGCACUGACGCUCAUGCGCGAAAGCGUGGGGAGCAAACAGG
rnacentral:rRNA from 1 species